rnacentral:rRNA from 1 species
GGGUUGUGAGGUUAAGCGACUAAGCGUACACGGUGGAUGCCCUGGCAGUCAGAGGCGAUGAAGGGCGUGCUAAUCUGCGAUAAGCGCCGGUAAGGUGAUAUGAACCGUUAUAACCGGCGAUACCCGAAUGGGGAAACCCAGUGUGACUCGUCACACUAUCAUUAACUGAAUCCAUAGGUUAAUGAGGCGAACCGGGGGAACUGAAACAUCUAAGUACCCCGAGGAAAAGAAAUCAACCGAGAUUCCCCCAGUAGCGGCGAGCGAACGGGGAGGAGCCCAGAGCCUGAAUCAGCAUGUGUGUUAGUGGAAGCGUCUGGAAAGGCGCGCGAUACAGGGUGACAGCCCCGUACACAAAAGCGCAUGUGCUGUGAGCUCGAUGAGUAGGGCGGGACACGUGGUAUCCUGUCUGAAUAUGGGGGGACCAUCCUCCAAGGCUAAAUACUCCUGACUGACCGAUAGUGAACCAGUACCGUGAGGGAAAGGCGAAAAGAACCCCGGCGAGGGGAGUGAAAAAGAACCUGAAACCGUGUACGUACAAGCAGUGGGAGCACAGGUUUACCUGUGUGACUGCGUACCUUUUGUAUAAUGGGUCAGCGACUUAUAUUCUGUAGCAAGGUUAACCGAAUAGGGGAGCCGUAGGGAAACCGAGUCUUAACCGGGCGUUAAGUUGCAGGGUAUAGACCCGAAACCCGGUGAUCUAGCCAUGGGCAGGUUGAAGGUUGGGUAACACUAACUGGAGGACCGAACCGACUAAUGUUGAAAAAUUAGCGGAUGACCUGUGGCUGGGGGUGAAAGGCCAAUCAAACCGGGAGAUAGCUGGUUCUCCCCGAAAGCUAUUUAGGUAGCGCCUCGUGAAUUCAUCUCCGGGGGUAGAGCACUGUUUCGGCUAGGGGGCCAUCCCGGCUUACCAACCCGAUGCAAACUGCGAAUACCGGAGAAUGUUAUCACGGGAGACACACGGCGGGUGCUAACGUCCGUCGUGAAGAGGGAAACAACCCAGACCGCCAGCUAAGGUCCCAAAGUCAUGGUUAAGUGGGAAACGAUGUGGGAAGGCCCAGACAGCCAGGAUGUUGGCUUAGAAGCAGCCAUCAUUUAAAGAAAGCGUAAUAGCUCACUGGUCGAGUCGGCCUGCGCGGAAGAUGUAACGGGGCUAAACCAU